rnacentral:tRNA from 1 species
GGGGAUUUGGCUCAGUGGUGUAAGCGCCUGCCUGACGAGUACGAGGUUGUAAGUUCAAUCCCCA